ACGUAGGAUCCAAGCGUUGUCCGGAUUUACUGGGUGUAAAGGGUGCGUAGGCGGACUUGUGCGUCAGGGGUUAAAUGCCACGGCUUAACCGUGGACCUGCCUCUGAUACGGCAAGCCUAGAGUGCGAGAGAGGAUGGUAGAAUUCUUGGUGUAGCGGUGAAAUGCGUAGAUAUCAAGAGGAAUACCAGUGGCGAAGGCGGCCAUCUGGCUCGCAACUGACGCUGAGGCACGAAAGCGUGGGGAGCAAACAG
rnacentral:rRNA from 1 species